CAGAGGUUGCAAACGUUGUUCGGAAUUACUGGGCAUAAAGCGCACGUAGGCGGUCCGUUAAGUCAUGUGUGAAAUCCCCCGGCUCAACCGGGGAAUUGCGCCUGAUACUGGCGGGCUAGAGGUCGAUAGGGGUGAGCGGAACUCCAGGUGGAGCGGUGAAAUGCGUAGAUAUCUGGAGGAACACCGGUGGCGAAAGCGGCUCACUGGAUCGAAACUGACGCUGAGGUGCGAAAGCUAGGGUAGCAAACGGGAUUAGAUACCCCGGUAGUCCUAGCCGUAAACGAUGGGCACUGGGCAGGGGAGGUUCCUAUGCCUUCUCUGCCGAAGCUAAUGUGUUAAGUGCCCCGCCUGGGGAGUACGCUCGCAAGGGUA
rnacentral:rRNA from 1 species